rnacentral:rRNA from 1 species
AGCAGUAGGGAAUCUUCCACAAUGGAUGAAAGUCUGAUGGAGCAACGCCGCGUGACCGAUGAAGGCUUUCGGGUCGUAAAGUUCUGUUGUAAGGGAAGAACAAGUGCCGCAGGCAAUGGCGGCACCUUGACGGUACCUUGCGAGAAAGCCACGGCUAACUACGUGCCAGCAGCCGCGGUAAUACGUAGGUGGCAGGCGUUGUCCGGAAUUAUUGGGCGUAAAGCGCGCGCAGGCGGCCUCUUAAGUCUGAUGUGAAAGCCCCCGGCUCAACCGGGGAGGGCCAUUGGAAACUGAGAGGCUUGAGUAUAGGAGAGAAGAGUGGAAUUCCACGUGUAGCGGUGAAAUGCGUAGAGAUGUGGAGGAACACCAGUGGCGAAAGCGGC